AUCAAAUAGUAUUUAUUAUUACUAACUAAAAUGUGCUACAUUAUUUCAACAUCGUUAGAGAAUGUUUAAAAUUCAGAUACUUUUGAUAUGGAUAGAUGAAUAUUCUUAAAGGGUUAGUUCACCCAAAAAAAGGUGUUUCACUCAUGCCCAUGACAUCCUAAGUGUAUAUGACUUUCUCCUUUCAGACGAAUCCAGUCUGACUUAUAUUAAAAAUGGUCUUUGAUCUUUCAAGCUCUAUCAUUGCAGUCAGCGGGUGUUGCAGUGCGUCAGUCCAAAAGAAGUUAAAUAAAAAGCGCCCAUCCAUAAAAAAAGUGUCUCACACGGCUCUGGGGGGUAAACAAAGGCCUCCUGUGGCGAAUCGGUGCAUUUUUGUAAGAAAAUUAUCCAUAUUCAAAAUGUAAUAAUCACUUUACUCUAGGUUGCGCUCACUGUUUUAAAUGGAAGCAGCUCUGGGCUGAUGACGUAUGAGUUCAGUGUUGCGCAAAGGCCAUUGAGUCUCGUGAAAACCAACGUUUGUUUACAGGAUCAAAGGAAGCAAAGUAAGGUUACUUUAGCAAAGGAAAACCAGUCUCCUCUUGGCUUAUAUCGAAAUCCUCUGACAUUCUUCUUUACAAAUCCUAGUUUUGUACUUCUAAUUAGUGACCGUUGUUUUGUUUUGACCUCUCCGCUGCAUUUCUGUAUGCGUCACUUCUGAGUGGCGCAUGCGCAAAGCCGACCUCCAUACGUCAUCCACUCGACCUUGCCUUUAUGACCUGUGAUGACCUCCAUGCACAUCAGAGAAAGCUGUCACUUAUUACAGCUGGUGUUGUUGUCAAGUGGUUAAAGGGUCAGGAUAUUAAAAUCAGCCAAAGGCCAAUUAUUCUGGCAGAGGAACUGGUUUUGCCAUCUCUUUCUGGAUUACCCAUGAGGCUAAACAUCAACAUGUCCACUCUGUUCUCCCUCAAACUUACAGGCAUCGCUAACUACAACAAUUGGUUGCAUUUCUCAAUGGCUGGCUAUGUCAAACCAAAUGCAAUGGUCACCAUCUCUGUGAGAGCUGGAGUGGAUGGAGCCUUUGGUCUUGUGGGAUUUUUGUGA
ensembl:lncRNA